rnacentral:snRNA from 1 species
AUGUUUGCUUCGGCAGCACAUAUACUAAAACUGGAAUGAUAAAAAGAAAACUAGUAUGGCCUCUGCGCAAGUACGACAUGCAAAUUUGUGAAGAGUUCUAUAUUUUU